GAUUGUCACUGAGGAAACUUCCGGCACACGUCGGAAGUUAUUCACAACUGGACAGGAAACCCGCCUCUCAGGCUGUGGCCACGCCUCCGCCGCCGUGAGGCCCAGGAAGCCGAGGGAACGCUGUGGCUGAAAGGGACCUGGGUCCGCUCAGUCAGCCCGAGGUGGCUGUUGAUUGAGGGAGGUCGCGCCCUCCCAGUUACCUUCCCUGGUGGUUGUGCCGCUCGGUGUGACGCGGUCAAGGGGACGGCUACGCGAGAAUGGGGGAGUGGGGCGCCCGAGGCUGCUCCUGGGCCCUGGGAAGCCCCCGAUUAAUGAAUGGUCGGGUCAGCGACGCGAGGGUCGGGGUUUCUCUGAGGACCGCGCGCUGCACCUGCGGAGCCGGGUGAAUGGAUGUCGCGAAGGCAAGGGCUGCCCUUACCCCUCGGGGCCGACCUCGGAGCCCUCGCCCGUGGUUGCAACGCUUUCCCGGGAAACCGGAGAAGCCAGGCCGGGGGCUCGGCCUUUCUGAGGCGGCCCUUCCGGCGGAGGACACCGGCGGAAUUUGAGUGCACAGAGUGCGCGAGAGGAGCUCCCUGUAGACACACAGUCCAAGCCACGUAGGUAAUUCUAAUAGCAGCCACAUUUUUAAAGAGUAAAGAGAAAUCGGUGAAACUGCUUUUAAUGUGUUUAAUUUAGCCCAUCCUGUCAUUUCAGCAUGUAAUCAGUCUAAAAGAAUUAAUUAGAUCUUUUACGCUCUGUCGUUGGUUCUAAGUCUUGGAAAUCCAGUGUGUGUUUUAGAGUUAACAGCCCAUCUCAAUUUGGACUAGACCCGUGCCAGGUGCCCAGUUGGCUGUGUACCCUCAUGUAUAUAGGACAGCAAAGUUCUGUAGAAAAGAACUUCAGGCCAGGCGCGGUGGCUCACGCCCGUAAUCCCAGCACUUUGCGAGGCCGAGGCGGGCGGAUCAUCUGAGGUCAGGGGUUCAAGACCAGCCUGGCCAACAUGGCGAAACCCAGUCUCUGCUAAAAAAUACAAAAAUUAGUCCCGGCGCAGUGGCGCAGACCUGUAAUCCCAGCUACUUGGGAGGUUGAGGCAGGAGAAUCGCUUGAACCCGGGAGGCGGAGGUUGUGGUGAGCCGAGAUCGCGCCACUGCACUCCAGCCUGGGCAACAGAGCAAGAUUCCAUCUCAAAAGAAAAAGAAAACAUGAACUUCAAAUGCUUGGGGAGGUCGUAGAUUUCAUCCACACAGCCUGGUUGAACCAGAGUCAGCCUUGUUAGAGUCGAAUGUUGCAUGCUCAGAAUCCAGGCUGCCAAGAGAAAACCAAAAGAAGAUGGCGCUUUAAAAAACCUUCCAGUGCCUUCCCUUGACUCAAUCAAAUUCAAACACCUUACUUUCUAUUCUCCGAGGCUCUACCCCUCCCUCUGAGGUCCUGCCACACCCCCUUCUCUACCCUGCUCACCCUACUUGAGUCGCAAUGACACAUUUGAUGUUCUUCUAACAAGCACUUUAGUUGGUACUAAGUCAGAAAGUCAGAAAUCCAUUACUCUUCUGCUUGGAACAUCCUUUUGCUGGCUUGCUUCCUUAUUUUUUGGAUCUCUGCCCAAAUGCCUUUGUAAGAGAGGCUUAUCCAAAUCCACUUACCAAAAAUAGUGCCUACCUUCCUAAGUCCUUACCAGGCAUAACUUUUCUCCAGUACUGUAUUAGUUAUCUACUACUCUGUAUUAAAUUACCCCCAAAUUUAGCAUCAAGCUUUAUUUCAGUUUCUGUAUGUCAGGUAUUUGAGUGACUCAGCUGGGUGGUUCUGACUAAGAUCUCCUAAGAGGUUGCAGUGAACAUGCUGUCCAGGGCUAAAAUCAUCUGAAGAUCUGACUGUAUUUGACUGUGGCUGGAGAGUCUCCCUUAAAGAUGGUUCAUUUACAUAGCUGAUAGCAAGAGGUUUUGGUUCCUUGACAAGUAGGCCUCUCCAUAGGGCUGCUUGAGUGCAGCAGAGAGCCACAUGAAAUUCAUAGACCUAGCAUUGGAAGUCACACAGUCGUUUCCACAAUGUGUUGUUACUUUUGCAGGUCAGCCCUAUUUAAUGUGAGAAGGGUUAACAUAAGGGCAUGAAUACCAGGAAGUGGGAAGUGGGGGGCAGGGUGGUUUUAGGGGAUCAUUGGGAGAUCAGCUACCACUAGCAUUUGUUGUCACUGAUUUCCCAGGCUUAGCACUGGAAGUCCUGCAUCCCAGGAAAUCCCUCAAUCCUGGGCAAACCAGGAUGUCUAGUCACACUGCAUGUUAGUCAUCUGCGUCUAGAUAGAACAUAAGCUCCAUGACAGCAAGCACUCCUUUGUUGUAUACCCUAAUGCUAGAACAGUGCCAGCAGAUCAACUGUUCAGUAUUUGUUAAACGAAUCUUUUGCAGUGCAAAAGUUAAGUCAGAUGGUGAUUUUUAUUUCUGAAAACUUAUUUUGAGAUUAUCAGUAUCUUUUAAAAUAGCUGAGCCAUCUGGAUACUCACUUUGAGAAAUGUAGCUAGUAUUAGUUGUUAACUGGAAUAAGCAAAGCAGAGUAUAUUUUCAAGCUUCCCUAAAAAGUAAAGCAGAAGAUGGCUAUAAAAGUAAAGAACUUCUGGUUUUACUUUUGCCUAUUAUCAUUCUUAUAUGGCUCUUCCAGCAUCUGUUCUUCAGGUCACUAUUUCCUCCCUGCCUCCUCUAAUCUAUUUUCAUGUUCCUCCUAUUUCAGCAUCAUUGAACUCUCCAGUUUCUUUACUUUUCUUCUUUAAAGGGGUAUUGUUUCCUCCGCCAUACUAAUUUUCCAAUGUACUGUUCUUCUGCAGUCUCCAAGAUAACCUUACUCUUUCCCCAUAUCCCCCUCUACAGUAAAUACAGGUAAUCAGUAAUUUUCCUGUAGUAUUUUUUUCAUAUGUCACUUUUUCUGUUCAAGAAUAG
rnacentral:lncRNA from 1 species